UACGUAGGGUGCAAGCGUUGUCCGGAAUUAUUGGGCGUAAAGAGCUCGUAGGCGGUUUGUCGCGUCGAAUGUGAAAAACCCGGGGCUCAACCCCCGGGCCUGCAUUCGAUACGGGCAGACUAGAGUUCGGUAGGGGAGUCUGGAAUUCCUGGUGUAGCGGUGAAAUGCGCAGAUAUCAGGAGGAACACCGGUGGCGAAGGCGGGACUCUGGGCCGAUACUGACGCUGAGGAGCGAAAGCGUGGGGAGCAAACAGG
rnacentral:rRNA from 1 species